CCGACCUUAGCUCAGUUGGUAGAGCGGAGGACUGUAGAUUGUUUACUGAAAUCCUUAGGUCGCUGGUUCGAAUCCGGCAGGUCGGA
rnacentral:tRNA from 11 species